AGCAGCCGCGGUAAUUCCAGCUCCAAUAGCGUAUAUUAAAGUUGUUGCAGUUAAAAAGCUCGUAGUUGAAUUUCGGGGUUAGUAGGUUGGUCAUGCCUCUGGUAUGUACUGGUCUCACUGAUUCCUCCUUCCUGAUGAGCCGUAAUGCCAUUAAUUUGGUGUUGCGGGGAAUUUGGACUGUUACUUUGAAAAAAUUAGAGUGUUUAAAGCAAGCUAACGCUUGAAUACAUUAGCAUGGAAUAAUGAAAUAGGACGUUCGAUCCUAUUUUGUUGGUUUCUAGGAUUGACGUAAUGAUUAAUAGGGAUAGUUGGGGGCAUUAGUAUUCAAUUGUCAGAGGUGAAAUUCUUGGAUUUAUUGAAGACUAACUACUGCGAAAGCAUUUGCCAAGGAUGUUUUCAUUAAUCAAGAACGAAAGUUAGGGGAUCGAAGACGAUCAGAUACCGUCGUAGUCUUAACCAUAAACUAUGCCGACUAGGGAUCGGAUGAUGUUAAUUUUUAAUGACUCAUUCGGCGCCUAC
rnacentral:rRNA from 1 species